rnacentral:rRNA from 1 species
UACGAGUGCCCCCGAGCGUUAUCCGGAAUCAUUGGGCGUAAAGGGUGUGUAGGUGGCAAUGUUAGUCUUUUGUCAAAACCUUGGGCUCAACCCAAGAUCUGCAGAAGAAACGGCAUUGCUCGAGGAUGCGAGGGGUGAAUGGAACUCAUGGAGUAGGGGUGAAAUCCGUUGAUAUCAUGGGGAACACCAAAAGCGAAGGCAAUUCACUGGCGCAUUCCUGACACUGAAACA